CAGUGGUCAAGCACCCCUGGGUUCAAUCCCCGGUACCUACCUAUGCCACCUAAAAAAAAAAAUCUGAAGCUUUAAAAGAGGCACAGAUGAGGUCAUCUUUGCUGGAGUCUGCACGGGAGCUCACCGGGAGGCGGCUGUGGGCUCUCCACUUCAGUCUCAACCUGUUGACUUAGUGCUGCUCUGUCCCAGCCGCCCUGGGGACAGGACCCAGGGCCUCCUAUCUCCUGCUGAGCUACACCGCAGCCUGCAUUGCUUUUUAGACAACAACGUCCUUCUACACGGACCACCACGUUCUGUUGACCCACUCAACUGCUGACACACAUGUGGGCCGCCGCCUGCUUCAGCCGGAGGGUGCAGCUCAGGCGAGUGUGGACUGGCGUCUGCUAGGGCGUCUCAGAGCUGCCGGAGCGUGCGGAAGUGGAGGCGCUGAGCCGGGGGUGACCCCUCGGCUUUGGGAAGGAGGGCCAGGCCAGGACUUUCUUACGGUGCUGAUUAAUCUGCUUUCUUUCUCUCCUCAACCCGUCACCUCCCAGGUAUCAGCCCGAGAUCUCCACUGCCCCAAGUCCUGCAGGUUUUUUCCCAAAGGCACAGAGUUCUCAUCAUGUGCCACCCCCAAGCACCCCAGCCUAUCACCUACUUCCUCUUGGCCAGCGGGUCAUCCAGGUGGACCAGAAGUUGGUGGAGACCCAAAAGCCAGGGGCCCAGCGCCCCGCGGCAGAUGUACUCAGAGCUGAGGGCACGUGAGACCGGAG
rnacentral:lncRNA from 1 species